rnacentral:rRNA from 1 species
GGCAGGCCUAACACAUGCAAGUCGAGCGGUAACAGAAAGUAGCUUGCUACUUUGCUGACGAGCGGCGGACGGGUGAGUAAUGCUUGGGAACAUGCCUUGAGGUGGGGGACAACAGUUGGAAACGACUGCUAAUACCGCAUAAUGUCUACGGACCAAAGGGGGCUUCGGCUCUCGCCUUUAGAUUGGCCCAAGUGGGAUUAGCUAGUUGGUGAGGUAAUGGCUCACCAAGGCGACGAUCCCUAGCUGGUUUGAGAGGAUGAUCAGCCACACUGGGACUGAGACACGGCCCAGACUCCUACGGGAGGCAGCAGUGGGGAAUAUUGCACAAUGGGCGCAAGCCUGAUGCAGCCAUGCCGCGUGUGUGAAGAAGGCCUUCGGGUUGUAAAGCACUUUCAGUCAGGAGGAAAGCGUAGUAGUUAAUACCCAUCAUGUGUGACGUUACUGACAGAAGAAGCACCGGCUAACUCCGUGCCAGCAGCCGCGGUAAUACGGAGGGUGCGAGCGUUAAUCGGAAUUACUGGGCGUAAAGCGUACGCAGGCGGUUUGUUAAGCGAGAUGUGAAAGCCCCGGGCUCAACCUGGGAACUGCAUUUCGAACUGGCAAACUAGAGUGUGAUAGAGGGUGGUAGAAUUUCAGGUGUAGCGGUGAAAUGCGUAGAGAUCUGAAGGAAUACCGAUGGCGAAGGCAGCCACCUGGGUCAACACUGACGCUCAUGUACGAAAGCGUGGGGAGCAAACGGGAUUAGAUACCCCGGUAGUCCACGCCGUAAACGAUUUCUACUAGAAGCUCGGAGCCUCGGUUCUGUUUUUCAAAGCUAACGCAUUAAGUAGAC